rnacentral:rRNA from 1 species
GACAGAGGAUGCAAGCGUUAUCCGGAAUGAUUGGGCGUAAAGCGUCUGUAGGUGGCUUUUCAAGUCCGCCGUCAAAUCCCAGGGCUCAACCUUGGAUAGGCUGUGGAAACUACCAAUCUGGAUUACGGUAGGGGCAGAGGGAAUUUCCGGUGGAGCGGUGAAAUGCGUAGAGAUCGGGAAGAACACCAACGGCGAAAGCACUCUGCUGGGCCGACACUGACACUGAGAGACGAAAGCUAGGGGAGCAAAUGGG